CUUAAAUUGAAGAGUUUGAUCAUGGCUCAGAUUGAACGCUGGCGGCAGGCCUAACACAUGCAAGUCGAGCGGAAACGAGUUAUCUGAACCUUCGGGGAACGAUAACGGC
rnacentral:rRNA from 1 species